UCAAACUUGGUCAUUUAGAGGAAGUAAAAGUCGUAACAAGGUUUCCGUAGGUGAACCUGCGGAAGGAUCAUUAAAAAUUUAAUUAUCCUGCUAAAUUAUAUGGAUAAUAAAAAUCCAUAUUCAUUUCAUGUGCAUCUAUCGAUCGUAUACUUUGACAGAUCGUUCUUUCUUGAUUUCAUUUUUAGAAAGAUGGAGAUUGAAUCUCGGGGGUCUGUCAAAGUUUUCCUUUUUCUCCUCUGAAAUCCUUGAAAUUCUGAAAAUUUUCAUUUCAUAUACAUAUGUAAACCAAAUACAACUUUCAACAACGGAUCUCUUGGCUCUCGCAUCGAUGAAGAACGCAGC
rnacentral:misc_RNA from 1 species